rnacentral:rRNA from 1 species
UACAGAGGGGCAAGCGUUGUUCGGAAUUACUGGGCGUAAAGGGCGCGUAGGCGGCCUUCUAAGUCGAACGUGAAAUCCCCGGGCUCAACCCGGGAACUGCGUCCGAUACUGGAAGGCUUGAAUCCGGAGAGGGAUGUGGAAUUCCAGGUGUAGCGGUGAAAUGCGUAGAUAUCUGGAGGAACACCGGUGGCGAAGGCGAACAUCCUGGACCGGUAUUGACGCUGAGGCGCGAAAGCCAGGGGAGCAAACGGG